UUGGUGUCUUGAACUAAACCAGAAAGAAACAGCUGCAGAUCCAAGCAUAGCAGGCACCGGAAUAAGUUAUCAUUACAUUUUGUAAAAGAUGCUGGAAGCAGCUAGAAAGACUCCCAAAAAAAACCAAAGCAAAUCCAGUAGAGCCUAAGUUCUUUAUGAAUUUCGUUUUGAAUACACCAGCUUGUGCUAUACCAAGCAGUUUCAAGAAGAUUUGUUUUUGUUUUAAUCAUUGUUUUCCUGUUGUGCUACUUGUUUUGUUCUUUGGGGUUUAGCCCUGCCUCAGACUACAUAUUGUUUGUAUGCUCUAUAAUGUGCAUAAAAUGUAGAAGAAAAAAAAAAGUGUUUUAUACUGGAACCUCCACUGAGGUAGGAGCUGUACUGAAAGCCACCUCAUGCCUGUGCCAGUCAUACCUCAGCCACUCAAAAGUCUCCAGAGGACACCCCUAGUCAUGAAUCUUGUUGAUUGUCACGGUCCUUCCUCUGAAACUGCCGCCACAGCAGCUGCAACAUUCAUCGCUGUGUCAGGAGUUGCUCCAGCUGCAGAUCCAGAAAACAAGUGCCAUGACCACUCUGAAAUAAAGAUUGAUCAAGAGACUUUGAAUGAAUGCAGAAGAAUGAACACAACACAGCUCAAGGAAUAA
rnacentral:lncRNA from 1 species